UGAGUGUAAGAGAGACAGCAAGAGAAGGAGAAAGCUGGAUGUCAGUUUUCAUCUCCCUGGCUCUAAAGAAGGGGUUUUACUUUUAUUACUAUUAUUUUUAUUCUCACCUCUCUCCUCCAGUACUGAUUAUCCACAGGGGCACGGGAGCAAUAGGGAACAGGCGAUGUGCACACGGUGGCUGCCCUGGAUCCUCAGCUCACUGCUGCUGUCGGGUUCUACUACAUGGUCAUGGACGUCCUCCCCUGCAUUGCUGCCAGCAGCAGUCAUCUUAGGUGAGUGUGAAAGGGUCAGCUAGAUGAGUGCCUUAGCACAGCUUAAGGUGUGUGUUCCAGUUGCUGGAGCCAGGCUGAAAAGCUCAGUUCAAACACAGCUGGGCCUCCACCCAUUCAUGGGGCAGACCACGGGAGCAUUCAUCACUGUCAGUGUCAUUCUGCCUGCGAUGGUUCAAAGGGCAUUGCAACUCAUUUGAUGUGUGUUCAUGAAAUGUCCCUCGGAUGUCAGACCUCUGUAGAAGUUCAAAGGGGUGCAUUGUGGACUCUGUCCUCUUCCAUUUGCCCUGGUGGACAUUAAUUGGGUAUAGAAAAGUUGUUGUUUUCCUUCAACUGGAAACUGUUGAGUCAGCGCAAUGGCUCCCAGCUGGUACAAGGCAAAGAACUUGCGAAAGGUUUUCCCCUCAUAAAGUGUGUCUCACAGCCUGGGCAGUGCUAAUGCAUGGCUGUUGCAGGACCCCCUGCUGAGAUGGUCCCUGAGACCACUGCUGUUUAGUUGUACUUCUGAGCUGCCAGUAACACUUCAGAAACCAGUGUAAGUGAUGCCUGUAGCAUUGAACAGCCCACUUCAGUCAAGUCUUGGGUGGGAGAACUUUUGUGUUAAUAGGUUGUGAAUUAUCUAAAUGAAUCCAGUGGUGCUGGCCUGGCUGUGGUGAGAUGUGUUUCCAAUGCAUAGGUGAGAUUACAGUGUUGAAUACUGAACGCAUCAACACUUAGUAGCAAAAGAAAAAGAAGUUAAUAAGUUACUCAGUAGGGCUUAGAAAUAUGCAUGUAAGUAGAGACUGAGUAUUAUAAAUACAGAAGCCAAUGUUUCUAGAGGAAAAA